GAACUUUCGGUCAGCGUUGCAGUCGCAAUGCAUCGUGCGAGCCUCCACUGAUAUGCAAGACAUACGGGACCAAAUGCGCAUGUUUAUUUCCACAGAAUUUUAGUGCGCGCUGCUCGAGCUAAUACCGAUGGGAUAAAUCUGUCGCAACGCACUCUGCACCACAGCUUGCUUCGAAAUUUCGGUCAGCGUUGCAGUCGCAAUGCAUCGUGCGAGCCUCCACUGAUAUGCAAGACAUACGGGACCAAAUGCACAUGUUUAUUUCCACAGAAUUUUAGUGCACGCUGCUCAAACUAAUACCGAUGGGAUAAAUCUGUCGCAACGCACUCUGCACCACAGCUUGAACCCGAAGACAAGUAUGAAGAAAUAUAAAAAAAACAAAGAAAAAGUGUCAAUGAAGUCUUCGGAAAAAUAGUUUAUGAUGGUAAUUUAUAACUGCGAUGUUCAUUUUGAAGGGGACAGCUUCUGCCUAAU